rfam:Triticum urartu cultivar G1812 contig740581, whole genome shotgun sequence.
AUACUACUCCCUCGGUCCGAGAAUACUUGUCAUCAAAAUGGAUAAAAAGAGAUAUAUCUAAAACUAAAAUGCGUCUACAGACAUUCCUUUUUAUCCAUUUUGAUGACAAGUAUUUUCGGACGGAGGGAGUACCUU